AGGCCUGCGGGUUGUAAAGCACUUUCAGUAGAGAAGAAAAACUCAGGGUUAAUACCCCCGGGUCUUGACGUAACCUACAGAAGAAGCACCGGCUAACUCCGUGCCAGCAGCCGCGGUAAUACGGAGGGUGCGAGCGUUAAUCGGAAUUACUGGGCGUAAAGCGCGCGUAGGCGGUCGGAUCAGUCGGAUGUGAAAGCCCUGGGCUUAACCUGGGAAUUGCAUUCGAUACUGUCAGGCUAGAGUAUGGGAGAGGGAAGUGGAAUUUCCGGUGUAGCGGUGAAAUGCGUAGAUAUCGGAAGGAACACCAGUGGCGAAGGCGACUUCCUGGCCCAAUACUGACGCUGAGGUGCGAAAGCGUGGGUAGCGAACAGGAUUAGAUACCCUGGUAGUCCACGCCGUAAACGAUGAGAACUAGAUGUCGGGAGGAUUUACCUCUCGGUGUCGCAGCUAACGCGUUAAGUUCUCCGCCUGGGGAGUACGCCGGCAACGGUAAAACUCAAAGGAAUUGACGGGGACCCGCACAAGCGGUGGAGCAUGUGGUUUAAUUCGAUGCAACGCGCAGAACCUUACCAGGGCUAGAAAAACUGAGAAUCCUGACGAAACUCGGGAGUGCUCGCAAGAGAACUCAGGUUCAGGUGCUGCAUGGCUGUCGUCAGCUCGUGUCGUGAGAUGUUGGGUUAAGUCCCGCAACGAGCGCAACCCUUAUCCUUAGUUGCCAUC
rnacentral:rRNA from 1 species